rnacentral:tRNA from 1 species
GCGGUGGUGGUGGAAUUGGUAGACACGCUACCUUGAGGUGGUAGUGCCAAUAGGCGUGGGGGUUCAAGUCCCCCCUUCCGCACCA